rnacentral:rRNA from 1 species
UACGUAGGUGACAAGCGUUGUCCGGAUUUACUGGGCGUAAAGAGCGCGCAGGCGGUCGAUCAAGUCGAGUGUGAAAGCCCCCGGCUCAACUGGGGAGGGUCAUUCGAUACUGAUCGACUCGAAGGCAGGAGAGGGUAGUGGAAUUCCCGGUGUAGUGGUGAAAUGCGUAGAUAUCGUAAGGAAGACCAGUGGCGAAGGCGGCUCACUGGACCAUAACUGACGCUGAGGCGCGAAAGCUAGGGGAGCAAACAGG